rnacentral:rRNA from 1 species
GACAGAGGGUGCAAGCGUUAAUCGGAAUUACUGGGCGUAAAGCGCACGUAGGCGGUCUUUUAAGUCGGGGGUGAAAUCCUGGAGCUCAACUCCAGAACUGCCUUCGAUACUGGAAGACUUGAGUCCGGGAGAGGUGAGUGGAACUGCGAGUGUAGAGGUGAAAUUCGUAGAUAUUCGCAAGAACACCAGUGGCGAAGGCGGCUCACUGGCCCGGUACUGACGCUGAGGUGCGAAAGCGUGGGGAGCAAACAGG